GUGUCUGGCCAUGUUACUCUGAAUGUGCCCAAUCUUGUCUGAUCUUGGAAGCUAAGCAGGGUGGGGCCUACUUAGUACUUGGAUGGGAGAAAACUCUCCCUGAAGCAGACAUU
rnacentral:rRNA from 1 species